rnacentral:lncRNA from 1 species
GGCGGAGAAAGAAAAGUUGAAUUCGGCUCACAUUAAGAAAAAUAGGAAAUAGGGAGAAAAGAAUAAAGAAAACCGUAACGGGAAAAACACCAAAAAACUGGCAUAAAAGAAAAUAAAAUUGGCAUAAAAGAAAGCAACUGCCGAAAAUGCACCAAAUGUACUCCCUAGCCGAAAUUGCCUAAACAAAAUUCCCCCCAAUCGGCUCCCACUUCUCCCAUUUCAAAAUCCUUCAAAAACUCUACCAAUCCCUCUACCAAAUUUUCUUAUUGAUUUACUCCAACUCCCCAUUCAAAUUCAAUUCAAAUUCUUAUGACCAAUUCAACCACAGAGUUCCAGUCCAAUUCCAACACCUCCCCAGCUCAAGC